AAAGCCGUAACAAGGUUUCCGUAGGUGAACCUGCGGAAGGAUCAUUAAUGAGUAAGGGUCUUCGGGCCCGACCUCCAACCCUUUGUAGUUGAAAAAGCCCUUGUUGCUUUGGCGGGGCCGUCCCGGAACUCCCAUCUCUUCUGAUGGGGGGGAAAGGGCCGCCGGUCCUCGGACCGUCGAGCUCCCGCCAGAGUCAAAUCCAAAGCUCUUGUUUUAACCAUAUCGUCCGAGUAAAGUUGAUAAAAUUCAAUUAAAAAC
rnacentral:misc_RNA from 1 species